rnacentral:rRNA from 1 species
UCGAGUGCCAGGUUACAAAUCUGGCCGUCGUGAUGCCUAAAAAGCAUUGCAUAGCAAGGGCCGGGCAAGACCGGUGCCAGCCGCCGCGGUAACACCGGCGGCUCGAGUGGUAACCGUUAUUAUUGGGUCUAAAGGGUCUGUAGCCGGCCGGAUAAGUCUCUUGAGAAAUCCAGCAGCUCAACUGUUGGGCUUUCAGGAGAUACUGUUCGGCUCGAGGCCGGGAGAGGUGAGAGGUACUUCAGGGGUAGGGGUGAAAUCUUGUAAUCCUUGAAGGACCACCAGUGGCGAAGGCGUCUCACCAGAACGGACCUGACGGCAAGGGACGAAAGCUAGGGGCACGAACCGGAUUAGAUACCCGGGUAGUCCUAGCCGUAAACGAUACUCGCUAGGUGUCGGCCACGGUGCGACCGUUGUCGGUGCCGUAGGGAAGCCGUGAAGCGAGC